rfam:Ictidomys tridecemlineatus contig116682, whole genome shotgun sequence.
GGGGUUGUGGCUCAGUGGUAGAGCACUUGCCUAGCAUGCAUGAGACACUGGGUUCGAUCCCCAAAACCACA